GAGAGAUGAGCAUGGUUGUUGUGCUCCUAGCUUGAAACUAGGUGGGGGGGGUUCAAUUCCUCCUUCUCUUU
rnacentral:tRNA from 1 species